rfam:Lupinus angustifolius cultivar Tanjil chromosome LG18, whole genome shotgun sequence.
GGUGGGCAUGUGAUGAAUCUCAUUUUGUAAAUGGGUAAUUUGCGUCUGAAUUAAAUUGAUGCUUUAUCACCUUGGAGAACUGAUGCCUACU